UACAGAGGGGGCAAGCGUUGUUCGGAUUUACUGGGCGUAAAGGGCGCGUAGGCGGCCAGCGCAAGUCAGUUGUGAAAUCUCCGAGCUUAACUCGGAAAGGUCAACUGAUACUGCGCGGCUAGAGUGCGGAAGGGGCAACUGGAAUUCUUGGUGUAGCGGUGAAAUGCGUAGAUAUCAAGAGGAACACCUGCGGCGAAGGCGGGUUGCUGGGCCGACACUGACGCUGAUGCGCGAAAGCCAGGGGAGCGAACGGG
rnacentral:rRNA from 1 species